UUUUUUUUGAUUAUAAUUUAAAAUUUGGCCUGCUCCAUGAUUUUAAUAAAUUAAAUAGCUGCAGUAUUUUAACUGUACAAAGGUAGCAUAAUCAAUAGUUUUUUAAUUGAAAGCUGGAAUGAAUGGUUUAAUGAGAUAAAAACUUUUUUAAAUUUAUUUAAAAUAAAAAUUUUUUAUUAGUAAAAAAACUAAUAUUAUUAUAAAAGACGAGAAGACCCUAUAGAUUUUUAUAUUAAUAUUAUAAAAAUUAUUAAAAUAUUUUAAUUUAUAAAAAUUAAUAUUUAGUUGGGGUGAUUAUUAAAAUUAAUAAACUUUAUUAUAUAAAUACAAUAAUUUUUGAUUAAAUGAUCUUAAAUUUUAGAUUAAAAGAAUAAAAUACCUUAGGGAUAACAGCGUAAUUUUUUUAGAGAGAUCUUAUUAAUAAAAAAGAUUGC
rnacentral:rRNA from 1 species